AGAGUUUGAUCAUGGCUCAGGAUGAACGCUAGCGGGAGGCCUAACACAUGCAAGCCGAGCGGUAGAUUACUUUCGGGUAAUUGAGAGCGGCGUACGGGUGCGGAACACGUGUGCAACCUGCCUUUAUCAGGGGGAUAGCCUUUCGAAAGGAAGAUUAAUACCCCAUAAUAUAUUAUUCGGCAUCGGGUGAUAUUGAAAACUACGGUGGAUAGAGAUGGGCACGCGCAAGAUUAGCUAGUUGGUGAGGUAACGGCUCACCAAGGCGACGAUCUUUAGGGGGCCUGAGAGGGUGAUCCCCCACACUGGUACUGAGACACGGACCAGACUCCUACGGGAGGCAGCAGUGAGGAAUAUUGGACAAUGGGUGGAAGCCUGAUCCAGCCAUCCCGCGUGCAGGAAGACGGCCCUAUGGGUUGUAAACUGCUUUUAUCUGGGGAUAAACCUACUUACGUGUAAGUAACUGAAGGUACCAGAAGAAUAAGCACCGGCUAACUCCGUGCCAGCAGCCGCGGUAAUACGGAGGGUGCAAGCGUUAUCCGGAUUUAUUGGGUUUAAAGGGUCCGUAGGCGGACUGAUAAGUCAGUGGUGAAAUCCGACAGCUUAACUGUCGAACUGCCAUUGAUACUGUUAGUCUUGAGUAAGGUUGAAGUGGCUGGAAUAAGUAGUGUAGCGGUGAAAUGCAUAGAUAUUACUUAGAACACCAAUUGCGAAGGCAGGUCACUAAGUCUUAACUGACGCUGAUGGACGAAAGC
rnacentral:rRNA from 1 species